ACUGCUGCAUAGUAUCUCCUUGUAUGAAUUUUUUCACAAUUUUGAAUACUGUUAGCUCUACCUUCAAAAUAUAUUCAAAAUCCAUCUACUUCUCACCACAUCCAGGCUACUACUCUGAAUUAUCCUGUCUUGUUUGGAUUAUUGAACAGUCUUCUCCCAUUCUGCAUUCUUCCUCCUCAGAGAACCUACAUCUAUUCUCAAUGAAACAGUCAGAGUGCCUCUUUUAAAAGAAAGAUUCAUGCUUGGCCUUCCUGUAUAGAAAUUUUAAGAAAUCUGGACACAUAAAGAAAAACCUGGGAUGUACACACACAGAGAAAAGAUCAAGACUCAGCAAGAAGUCGGCCAUCUGCAAGCCAAGGAGUGAGGUACCUGAAGAAACCAACCCUGCUGACACCUUGAUCUUGGACAUGCAGCCUCCAGAACUGUGAUCAAUAAAUUUCUGGUGUUUAUGCCACACAGUCUGUGAUAGUUUGUUAUGGCAGCCCUAGAAAGGAAUACAUUGAGGAAG